rnacentral:rRNA from 1 species
GGUUAAGCGACUAAGCGUACACGGUGGAUGCCCUGGCAGUCAGAGGCGAUGAAGGACGUGCUAAUCUGCGAUAAGCGUCGGUAAGGUGAUAUGAACCGUUAUAACCGGCGAUUUCCGAAUGGGGAAACCCAGUGUGAUUCGUCACACUAUCAUUAACUGAAUCCAUAGGUUAAUGAGGCGAACCGGGGGAACUGAAACAUCUAAGUACCCCGAGGAAAAGAAAUCAACCGAGAUUCCCCCAGUAGCGGCGAGCGAACGGGGAGCAGCCCAGAGCCUGAAUCAGUGUGUGUGUUAGUGGAAGCGUCUGGAAAGGCGCGCGAUACAGGGUGACAGCCCCGUACACAAAAAUGCACAUACUGUGAGCUCGAUGAGUAGGGCGGGACACGUGGUAUCCUGUCUGAAUAUGGGGGGACCAUCCUCCAAGGCUAAAUACUCCUGACUGACCGAUAGUGAACCAGUACCGUGAGGGAAAGGCGAAAAGAACCCCGGCGAGGGGAGUGAAAAAGAACCUGAAACCGUGUACGUACAAGCAGUGGGAGCCUCUUUUAUGGGGUGACUGCGUACCUUUUGUAUAAUGGGUCAGCGACUUAUAUUCUGUAGCAAGGUUAACCGAAUAGGGGAGCCGAAGGGAAACCGAGUCUUAACUGGGCGUUAAGUUGCAGGGUAUAGACCCGAAACCCGGUGAUCUAGCCAUGGGCAGGUUGAAGGUUGGGUAACACUAACUGGAGGACCGAACCGACUAAUGUUGAAAAAUUAGCGGAUGACUUGUGGCUGGGGGUGAAAGGCCAAUCAAACCGGGAGAUAGCUGGUUCUCCCCGAAAGCUAUUUAGGUAGCGCCUCGUGAACUCAUCUCCGGGGGUAGAGCACUGUUUCGGCAAGGGGGUCAUCCCGACUUACCAACCCGAUGCAAACUGCGAAUACCGGAGAAUGUUAUCACGGGAGACACACGGCGGGUGCUAACGUCCGUCGUGAAGAGGGAAACAACCCAGACCGCCAGCUAAGGUCCCAAAGUCAUGGUUAAGUGGGAAACGAUGUGGGAAGGCCCAGACAGCCAGGAUGUUGGCUUAGAAGCAGCCAUCAUUUAAAGAAAGCGUAAUAGCUCACUGGUCGAGUCGGCCUGCGCGGAAGAUGUAACGGGGCUAAACCAUGCACCGAAGCUGCGGCAGCGACACUAUGUGUUGUUGGGUAGGGGAGCGUUCUGUAAGCCUGUGAAGGUGUGCUGUGAGGCAUGCUGGAGGUAUCAGAAGUGCGAAUGCUGACAUAAGUAACGAUAAAGCGGGUGAAAAGCCCGCUCGCCGGAAGACCAAGGGUUCCUGUCCAACGUUAAUCGGGGCAGGGUGAGUCGACCCCUAAGGCGAGGCCGAAAGGCGUAGUCGAUGGGAAACAGGUUAAUAUUCCUGUACUUGGUGUUACUGCGAAGGGGGGACGGAGAAGGCUAUGUUGGCCGGGCGACGGUUGUCCCGGUUUAAGCGUGUAGGCUGGUUUUCCAGGCAAAUCCGGAAAAUCAAGGCUGAGGCGUGAUGACGAGGCACUACGGUGCUGAAGCAACAAAUGCCCUGCUUCCAGGAAAAGCCUCUAAGCAUCAGGUAACAUCAAAUCGUACCCCAAACCGACACAGGUGGUCAGGUAGAGAAUACCAAGGCGCUUGAGAGAACUCGGGUGAAGGAACUAGGCAAAAUGGUGCCGUAACUUCGGGAGAAGGCACGCUGAUAUGUAGGUGAAGUCCCUCGCGGAUGGAGCUGAAAUCAGUCGAAGAUACCAGCUGGCUGCAACUGUUUAUUAAAAACACAGCACUGUGCAAACACGAAAGUGGACGUAUACGGUGUGACGCCUGCCCGGUGCCGGAAGGUUAAUUGAUGGGGUCAGCGCAAGCGAAGCUCUUGAUCGAAGCCCCGGUAAACGGCGGCCGUAACUAUAACGGUCCUAAGGUAGCGAAAUUCCUUGUCGGGUAAGUUCCGACCUGCACGAAUGGCGUAAUGAUGGCCAGGCUGUCUCCACCCGAGACUCAGUGAAAUUGAACUCGCUGUGAAGAUGCAGUGUACCCGCGGCAAGACGGAAAGACCCCGUGAACCUUUACUAUAGCUUGACACUGAACAUUGAGCCUUGAUGUGUAGGAUAGGUGGGAGGCUUAGAAGUGUGGACGCCAGUCUGCAUGGAGCCGACCUUGAAAUACCACCCUUUAAUGUUUGAUGUUCUAACGUUGACCCGUGAUCCGGGUUGCGGACAGUGUCUGGUGGGUAGUUUGACUGGGGCGGUCUCCUCCUAAAGAGUAACGGAGGAGCACGAAGGUUGGCUAAUCCUGGUCGGACAUCAGGAGGUUAGUGCAAUGGCAUAAGCCAGCUUGACUGCGAGCGUGACGGCGCGAGCAGGUGCGAAAGCAGGUCAUAGUGAUCCGGUGGUUCUGAAUGGAAGGGCCAUCGCUCAACGGAUAAAAGGUACUCCGGGGAUAACAGGCUGAUACCGCCCAAGAGUUCAUAUCGACGGCGGUGUUUGGCACCUCGAUGUCGGCUCAUCACAUCCUGGGGCUGAAGUAGGUCCCAAGGGUAUGGCUGUUCGCCAUUUAAAGUGGUACGCGAGCUGGGUUUAGAACGUCGUGAGACAGUUCGGUCCCUAUCUGCCGUGGGCGCUGGAGAACUGAGGGGGGCUGCUCCUAGUACGAGAGGACCGGAGUGGACGCAUCACUGGUGUUCGGGUUGUCAUGCCAAUGGCACUGCCCGGUAGCUAAAUGCGGAAGAGAUAAGUGCUGAAAGCAUCUAAGCACGAAACUUGCCCCGAGAUGAGUUCUCCCUGACUCCUUGAGAGUCCUGAAGGAACGUUGAAGACGACGACGUUGAUAGGCCGGGUGUGUAAGCGCAGCGAUGCGUUGAGCUAACCGGUACUAAUGAACCGUGAGGCUUAACCUU